AGUAGGAUUGCUGGGUCAAAUGAUAACUGUCUGACCUACUGAGACACUUCCAGCCAUUUUCCAAAGUGGCUGCACUCAUUUACAUUCUCAUCAGCAAU
rnacentral:pre_miRNA from 1 species